rnacentral:rRNA from 1 species
GACAGAGGGGGCAAGCGUUGCUCGGAAUUACUGGGCGUAAAGGGCGCGUAGGCGGGAUGGUAAGUCGGUCGUGAAAUCCCUCGGCUCAACCGAGGAACGUCGAUCGAUACUACCGUUCUUGAGGAUUGCAGAGGAGACUGGAAUUCCUGGUGUAGCGGUGGAAUGCGCAGAUAUCAGGAGGAACACCGGUGGCGAAGGCGGUUCUCUGGGCCUUACCUGACGCUGAGGAGCGAAAGCAUGGGGAGCAAACAGG